rnacentral:tRNA from 1 species
GGGGUUGCGGCUCAGUGGUAGAGCGCUCGCCUAGCACGUGCGGGGCCCUGGGUUCGCUCCUCAGCACCACG